GGUCUCUUAUGAUGCUUUGCACUGGGCUCUGAAUUUCUGUGGCGACGAUGUGCUGCUCUGCUCCUGACAUGGCAGAGUCUGAGGAGAUG